UUACGGCCAUAUCACUUUGAUAUACCAGUUCCCGUACGAUCACCGGAGUUAAGCAACAUGGAGGCUGGUCAGUACCUAGAGUGGUGACCGCUUUGGAAUACCAGGUGCUGUAA